rnacentral:lncRNA from 1 species
AGCCCAGAGGGAAGGAGCCCAGAGGAAACACUGCACUUUGGAGUCCAGAGGAAAGAUGAGUAAUCUCAAACACAGGUGCUAGAUGUGCCUGUGACUUGGCUUUGACCAUACAGCCGAGGACUGUGGAGCAGUAAGGUGGAGGGAACUGAGGUUCUGGGAUGACCACGUGAAGCAAAGCUGCUCACCCACUCAGGACUGUUACAUCAGAGAGAAAAUAUAAGCUUUUUAAAGCCAAAGCUUCUUGGGAGUCUUUUUAUUACCGUGGCUUAACCUUUCCUCUAACUAAUUCAAAAGCCAAUUCCAAAACAAACCAACCAAUCAGCAGAAAAUCAGAAUGUUGAAAGUGACAUAUUCCAACUGAUGACAAAAGCCUGCAGGAUCAGAAACUUUUGGUCCCAUGUGCAAUAUGCAGUGUUCAUGGCUUCCUACCUGGAGAAAGUUAAGUUUUAUUGUGUUCAAGGAGGUUGAGAGUAUAUAUUUGAUGUCCCAAGAUUGAGGAAGUGGUCCAGCAGGAAGACUGCAUUGAGUUACCAACUUGGGUGAAAAAGAUCAAGGUGAAGAUUUUAUUCCACAAAGUAUAAGGGGCCAGUAGGUCUUUACAGAAUAGAUAGGCUCAGGCCCAAGUAUGGUGGAUUAAGACUGACCUGAGAGAACACGAUAUCAGCACAUCCAUUGAUGGGAAGGAAGGACGUUGACCCAAUAGGCCAUUGGCUUUGUGGAACAACAGUCUUGAAAACCCUUGGAGAAGAUAGGUGCAGCCAACUCUGGAGGACUGCCUGAAAGGGAGCAGAGCCUGUAGAGGAGGCAUGGAGCCUCUGGAUGAAGGGCCGGUGCAACAUUCAGAGUUCAGUAUUGAUCGUGUUUGUGAUUUAAACACUCAGAGACCAAGGAAUUGACCACUUUGAUGUGGAUUGAUGGUUUCCUGAUGCUUUAUGACAGGUACUUCUAGGAGUCUCCAAGAUGGCUUGUGUGAACACGUGUCAGACCAGGUUAUUGGAGGCCACCGUGCUGUCACCUUCCUCUGCCAAGUCCAGGCCCACUGUGGGGACCGCUGUCCAGGCUUAGAAACUCCGGUAUGAACACUGGUGGGCGGGCACUCUCCCGUAGCUGCCCUUGGCCACAAUGGAGAUCUCCCCUGGCCCUCUCCCAGACUGAGUCACCUGUACUACACAGUUUGCCCUGUUUGACACAACUGCCAGCCAAACCUGAGAUCCUCCUGGGUCACUGGCCAUGCCCAGGAGAGGCCUCGAGGAGCCAAUCUUUGCAGCCCAGCCACAGAUGCUCUUGGCCAUCAAGGAGCUUUACUGAGCCCUGUCAGGGGACAGGAGGAUUCACUUCCCUCAGCUCCCCUCUGUGAGACACCUAUAGUAAGGCUACAGAUUUCAAAGGGACGCCAAAUUUGGUUGUUUCCACCAGCGAAACCCAUUUUUGCCCUAGGGCCCACAUAGAUCAUCAGCAUAGUGAUGUCAGCAGCACCCUUCAGGCCCAGGGGCAGAAAACUGCUGGUUGUGACAUCCUUCCUCUUCUCCUCCCCUUUAAAGACCCUGCCUUCCUUUUUCAUAAUUGGCUCAAAUCACUCUCCUCCCACUCUGAUCUCACAUUCAUUAAUUCAUCUGGUCAACAUCAAAUAUUCAUUAUGCACCAAUUAUCUGUAAAACGGGGAUAGGAAUAAUGAUAUUUCAUUGUCUUGGUUUCGGUCUUCGUGCAAGCAGACUUGAGACAAGGGCUUGGUUGCAGGCUUUUUAUUCGGGAGGUGAUCCCAGGAAGCAGGAGUGAGGGAGCAGGAAGAUUGAGCAGGGAAGGAGGAAAACAGUAACCUAAGGGUGUGCUAUUGGUUACUGCUGCUGGCAGUGGGAGCCCAAGUGCAUUGGCACAUCUGAGAAGCACACAGAAGCAUCCCAGGAUUGUCCUCCUGAAGGAAGGGAGGCAAGAGCAUUUAUCCAUAGCUCCUAGCCCCCUUGGUAGAUAGUUGCCUUGGGACAGGGAGUGAGAGGUUGGGGGUUACCUGCCCUGACCUUUAGAGGGCUGAGCUGAUUUCUGCAGCUUUAGCAAGUCUUUAAGGCAGAGAGGAGCAAGCCAUGGGCACAUGCCUAAGUGGCACUGUCCAAGGAAGAAGCUCCUCCUUGCAGUUGGACUGAAGUCAAGAGUGGGAUGAGGGGCCGUGAUACAGCACGGAAAACAUACACUACACUUUCUCAUGAAGUAGUUACCAUUAACUGAGUUAAUUUAUGUAAAACACCUAGAACAAUACCUGCCCCCAAUAAGGCUAUAUGUGUGUGUUUGCUGCUAUUAUUUGUGUGACUAUUACAUGUGCCUGGUGCUUCUCCAGGCUCUGUAGGUAACACUCUCAUGAGACUUACUUUCAGCUCACAAAACAUGCCUUGUUUAUGUGUCAAAGCUCUGAUUCUUGAUACUGUCCAAGUUCUUUUGCCAGGAGAUUCUCAGCCCCCAUGUUUGGGGAUGGCCAGGGGACAUGGCCCCACUUGACUGCCUGCCUUGCCAGUAUCUCUGAUCCAUUUUGGAGGCCUGCCCUGCCAUGCUCUGCUUCCCAGGAUCCUGAACAAGGAUUUGAGAACUAAGGUUUGAAUUCUGCAUAUGAAACAGUCAAACUCAAGUUGUCCAUCUGCUGGGAAAAGAAAAUAGCUUCAGAGCAAAGUCACUUGCCUUUUAAUAAUUGAUGGAUAAAAGAUUGCAGCAUGUGCAAAAACACACUUUCCAGAUCUGCCACUAAGAACGGUUCGGGCAGAAGAAACUGCUCUUUCCAUUGCCCCAGAGGCCAGGCCUGCCCUCAGCUAAUCUGGUGACCUAAUCCUUUCACAUGGGGGAGGACCAGAGCAUUUGCAUACAAGCAAUGAAUGCAUCUUUCCACCAGAGGCUUCCAGAGGCAAGUCCAAUCUAGUUAGUGCUUAUCUGUCCAAGCUGGCUGACCUUCUCCCAGUGCACAGUCCAGUCCCAAGUCCUCCCACCCCUGCCUUGUUCCCAGAACGAGUCUUGACUAUUCUAGCCUCAUACCUCGUCCCUAAGUUGCAACACUUGAUAUGGCUCCUUGAGGACUGCCUUGGCCAUCUCCUUGUUGCCGCUCCCACUGACUGCUUGGGUUUCAGCAGUUCACGGCUUCACGAGGCAACCCCUCCCUCUUGGUUCUAUGAUAACAUAACCGGUCACAGGCCUUUUGCCCAGCCCAGGCACUGAGGGACUGGGACCUGCCCUGGCCCCAUCUUGGCUUUCACAAAUGGGAGCUGGUGAGGUCUCACCCAGGUGAAACCCGGAAUUCACUUUCCUUUCAAAUGUUAAUAUGUUGCUGUGAAAACAUGCCUUUAUCAGUCCAGAAUCCUGUGUCUGUAAUCUCAAUAUCUAAAAGCUCUGAAAGCCAAAAGUUGGUUAUAAUCUGCAUGGUAGCAAAAUCUAACAGGGUUAAUUUCAUUUUCCAGAAUUAUCUGACCUGCACUAAGUGGAGGCUAUCUAUUGCCUUUAUUGAUCUCAUUUGGUGUGAAUACGCAUACAUGCUGCUGGAGAAAUAUUAAUGUCAUUGAUUACGAGGUGUCCCAGAGCUCACUGGGGUGUUGAUGUAUGAAGUGGUAUGUGCACCAAACUGCCUUUCUAAAAUACAUUCUGAAUUCUGAAACAUACCUGGCCCCAAGAUUUUGGAUGAGGAAUUUAGGCCUGUAUUAAAAUUAACCCAGGGAGGGUUAGGGCCUGGGAGAAGUGACCAUGAGUGGCCAUUGUUAUCUAAAGCUAAUGCAGGGAGCCAGGGGCAGCAGUGGCCUGAGUUAAAUAUCACUGGAUCCUUUAGUAUAAUUACAGAGUCAGGACUUAAGGAGAGUCAUUGACAUCCCUUUCAUCAAAAAGAAAAGAAAGAAUUGCUCCCUGUAAUCCAUACCCAUUAAUUCAGCAUCUCCCCUAGAUAGCUGAAACCCCUUCAGAAAGACUGGAAUAUUUUCUAGAUAAUAAAUCUGGGUCUUUAUCUUUCCCUUUUCUUCUUUCCCCUCUUCCCUUUGCCCCAUCCCUGAACUUCCCCCUCUUCUUGUGUUUUUGUCCAUAAAAGAGCAGCUUCUGUCAUUCAUGUGACAAUGAGCCUCCUUAGGUAAUUAAAGGGGAGUCUGCAGCCUGAACUACAAGUGAGAGGUCAUCUUUUUCAGCUUAUAGUCCUACCUCUACUGGGAGUGUGAUUCUGGGGACAAGAAGGAAGAAACGGUGCCAAAGCGCAUGGAUGGCCAAUUGUGCGCCUGGCUCUUCCAUGUGGAGUAGGCAGUGGGGCUGCUUGGAGCACACUUAGUGUUUGCCCUCCAGAUUUUUCCAGUCUCCUCAUAGAUGACCCAUGCCUGAUCUAGAAUAGGGAGGCAGGGUUUUAGAUUUAACUAGAAGUCUUCAUUUGUAUUCUUCCCAGAAGCAGACCCUGAGAUGAGGGUUCUGGGAAAUAAGGAGAACAGCAGUUGGGAAGAGGAGAACAAAGCCAGGGGAUGACUAGAGCUUAAUCCUUUGGGGAAACUCUGGGUAACAGCACAGAACACACCUCAGAGUUAUCUUCCUAAGGUGCCAGAUGAGGGAGUUGAGGUAUUUAUACACCCUCUCCUGAGACUCAUGGGUUGAGGGCUGCUGGAGGCUGCGAUGACAAUGCCCUGACACAUGGGCCUGCUUCCUGGGGGCAAAAGCCUCAGGCACAGACAUACAUACACUGGGGUUUGAAGUUGAUUGUUACAUACUGUAAUAGUAACAUCCAAGCAAUACUAGCAGGGCACUGACAGCAUCUAAUACAGUUUUUUUUUUUUUCACUAAAAUGCAAAGGAAUGUUUGCAUUUCUUUAUCAGAAGAAGGAAAAGAAUGCCAGUCUUCCCAUUUUGAUGGUUGUGCCCACAAGAACCAGCAGAGCCUGGAAGGACAAUAUGCUUGGUAGUGGGAUCAUUUGGGGCUAGUGAGGGGGCAGGGUCUCGGGAAAAAGGGCACGGUGCCUGGUGAAGGGAGUCAUUCUGGGGGUGCUGCAGUGAUGAUGCUAGUGGCAGCUGUGCCCUUGGCAAUGGGAGUGGGGGUCUGCUACUGCAGUGAACCCUGAAAGCAGUAGGGAGGUGCUUCUUUAUAUCCCUUAGAGACUUCAGCAAAAAAUAUCCUUGAAUAAGGCUAGGGUAGGCAAGGGAAAAAUGGCAGGCACAGCAGUGGACUCAGCUUGAUUGUGAAGCCCUUUCUUAGGCUCUGUAUGGGGCUGGAAAUACCACAUGUGUCCUGUUUGGUGGGGAGGGGUCCUGUUGGGUGGAUAAGUGAUGCUCAGAGCAUUUCUAGGGCAGGAGUUGUCAAACUUUUUCCUGCUAAAUAUUAUAGGCUUUAGGGGUACUACUGUCUCUGUUGUAACUACUCAGCUUCCCUAUUGUAUAUCAAGAAAUGGUCACAGACAAUAUGUAAGGAAUGCGUAUGGCUGUGUUCCAUCACAACUUUAUUUAUGGAUGCUGAAAUCAGAAUUUUAUAUAAUUUUCAUGUGUCACAAAUUUUUUUUUCUGAUUUUGUCCAUUCAUUAAAAAAUGCAAAACCUAUUUUUACCUUGUGAGCCACACUGAAACAGGCUGUAGGCUGAAUUGGGCCCGUGAACUGUAUUUGCAGACCCUUGUUCUAGGGCUUCUCUCUGACUUGGGCUCCAGGGUUAAGGGCAGAUUUCCAACCGAUUCUUGACAGCGUAGGAGGGGCAAACCUCCUCCUCACUCCAGUGAGAUAAGUGACUCAUCCAAUAAUGGCAAAGACUCAAAAGCAAGGAGAUAGAACCUCAUGUAUGCGUGGACAUUUAACUGGCUCCGGUGAAGGCUUGAAGCCCUAUUUGCUAAGCUUCUGCUCAUUUGCUGCUCCAGAAAGUGACAGCCUGCAUGACCAGUCCACAGCCUGUUACUUUGGGGAUUUUACAGGGUUCAUAGAGUAAAGAGGAGACUUUGGGUAAAUACAGAUCAAAUAUUUGGGUGACACUGGUAGAGUGAAAAGGUAGACUUUUAAGCCACAUCGCCUUGCACGCAGCUUCCAGCUCUGCCAUUUACAGCCUAGUAAUCUGAAUCAAGACACUUAAUUACUCUGGGUCUCAGUUUCCUCAUCCAUAAAAUGAGGAGCAAUAAUAACCCCCCUUUUAGGCUUAUUAUGAGGAUAAAGUAAGACAAUACGUGAAAUGACCUUGGAUCAAGCUCAGCUUGGCAUCUCAUCUUUACUUAAUGGAUGGUUUUAAAAUUAUUUUUAAUGCCAACUUCACAAAGUUGUGAUAGAAAUUAAAUGAGAUAAAUGUGUAAAGGGCUCAGGGACAUAGUAUGUGUUAAGAAAAUUAUUGCUACUAUUAAAAAUAUGAUGGAGAAAAAAAGGUUAGGUAUUUCUCCAUCUUCUCUUUGGGAUGAUGGCUCUCAAGAGGUGGGAAGAGGAGGACAAUGGCACCUGCAUAAUUUUGAUUGCAGGAUAUUUGUAUUCUUUCCCUUUCUGAAGUUCCUGAAUAGCAAAUGUUUUUGACAGCAAUUGGGUCUGGAUGCCACGUUUUGAAGCCCAACUAACAAACAAGAGAUUAUGAGACUGCAGUUAUCUUUUACCAGCUGCGUGGAAAAAUCCUGUCAUUUGGCAUCACACAACUAUGAAUUCUUUUAUCUCUUUCUCCCUUCUUAUGUGCUCCUGGAGCAUAUGUAAGCAAGCUCUGACAUUGAUAACACAUUCUUAUUAACCAUUAUCUGAAAGAUGGGAUGCCAACUUAGGAGUUUUGCAUUGCAUAUCAGAUGGAAAUUUCCAUUGGGGAAUGGAAUGUUAUCCACUCCUGGCCAAUGACAUCCCAAGGCUGAAGUUACCUUCUACAUACACCAUAGUCUGAGGUCAUGAAUUGGCUAGAUUUCUGCCCAAAUCUUUGCCUACUCCUUCAGAAGGAAAUGGAAUAUGAGGCAACUAUGGGCACUUAGAGGGAACAGAAAGUUGAUUUUCUGUCAUAUAAACGUUAGCUUCUUAGGCAGUGUAGAUGGAGCAGGUGACUGGAGCCAGAGGGAUGGGGUUGUGCUUGUAGAAAGGCCAAAUGAACAGGCUGAGUGGAGACCCUGUGGGGGCCCCUGAGAUGCACCCUUUAAUAUUCAUCCCACUCCAUGUGGUCAGUCUAAGCACAUCAUGUAAUUCCCAUUUUCCUUGACAGAAAUUGGUUAAGUAAAGGGCAUGUUAUCCACUCCUGGCCAAUGAGAUGAGGAAAAGCCUACAGUACGUGUGUGUGUGUUGGUUGGGGGGCAGUCUGGGGAAAGUUUAUCUUCUGUGAAGAAGGAACUCAGAGAGAGAGUGCCUUUUCGCCCUGUGGACUUUGCCAUGAGCGCCUGGUGCUAAGGUGUCAUCCUGCUAUCAUCCCUCUGAGAGACCAGCAUCAAGUAUUCCUGAAAGGCAAGAGGGAUGGUUCCUGGAUCCCUAAGGACAGCAUUGCCUGGCAGCUGAUCUCUACUUGCCUUCAAAUUAUAAUAUCUCUGUGCUUGCUCAUUGUUGAAGUCAGUUUGAGUUGGAACUCUGUUCCUUGUAACCAGAAGGAUCCUAUCUGGGGGCCACAUUUUUGACAUUGGAAUAUCACCAAGGUGAGAAAUAAGGGAAGGGUGUGCACUAGGCAUUUAGAAGAGGGGAGCGGCUGGGCACUUUUAAUGGGUUAGUGUGAAACAUACCUUGUACUCUAUCUGGAGCAUCCUAUAUUAAUUAACUAACUUAUUAAUGAGCCUGUAUAAGGCACCUACUACAUGGUCAGCAUAGGGACAGGUCUUUCUGAGAAUAAAAGAGUCAUAUAAAACAUCAUUCUAGUUGUCAAGCAUCAUAAAAUUUAGUUGGUGGAGACAAGACUAGAAAUAAAACAAAAUAAGUGGUUUAGAGAAGGGCGUGAUGAGUGAGUGCUAGAGUAGGUAAAAGCUUCGUGGGAGAUGGAGAAAGCUAAGCUGGGCCUUAAUCAGCAGAAAGAAUAAAGGUGAGGACAUAGAGACGUUAAGUCACAUGCUCCAACACAGCCAGAAAGUGGCAGAGCUGGGGUUCAAACCCAGUAUGUCUGACUCCUUCCAACCCUGGGCAUGUAACUACUAUGCUGGAGCAUACUUAUGCUCCCAAUGUGUAUUUGUAAGCCUGGAAUGCUCAUAUAUUAAUUUAUAAUGAGAAAUAGAACUGGAAAACAUUAUGAAUUCAAAAUCUGUGAAGCCAAGUUAUAUUCAGAAGGUUCCCAAGGCAGCUUGAAGCUGAUUAACAGACAGGAUAUCCCUGACACCAGGAUGGAGGCAUGUGUCUUGAAGGGCUAGUCCUUCUCUUCCUGGCUAGGUACUGGUAAGAGAAUGGCCAGUUUUGGAGUCUUGGGGCUCCCAUUUAAAUGCUCCAGGCUGUUCCUAAAGUCCUUCUUCAGUCAUGGUGUAAGUCAACUGGUCAGGCCUCUAGGUGUUCAUUAUGUUCACAUUUAAUUCAGUGGUGUACUAGCAAGUGUUUAACAAAUGGCUCUCUGGGGCACUGGGGGAAGCCCUAAUUUGUAACAUUCACCAAGUCAAGUUCCAUGGUGUAAAUACUCCCUCCAAGACUAUUUCAAGCUACCAGCAGGAAGAGAUGCACACAAUCAAUGGCUCUUGAGUGCUGGUACCGGCAGGCUCCAGCACACCACUGUGCUCACAUUGCAUCCUGCCUCUCAGAGCCUUCCCAGAUGCCUUGAUGGGAAUUAUGGAAUGUUCUCAGACUUUUGUAGAACAUUUACCAAAUUAGUCACAGCCAUGUGUGUGAACUUUUUCAGUUUAAUUAUUGGAAAAUGGCCUCACUUCCAAAUUCUUGGAGAACACUGUUUUUACCUUCAUGUACCGUCAACUAAUAGAGCUGUAAGGUGGCCAAAGAAACCAAAGAUGGAUUUCCUUUCUGUAUUGCCUAAAGUCCAGAGUUCUGUUAAAAAUUACUGUCAAGAGUGAGGCUUGGGGUCUGUGCUGCACUGAGUAAUACCAUGGGUAGCAAUAGAUAAAUUGGCACAGAAGAAUCUUCUACAGCACCACCGCCAUUCACCCCCUGCCUCACUUUGCUGUCUUACCCAACAUUACAUGACAGAAAAAAGAAAUUGUGUUGCCUAGUAACAGCUCUGAGCAAGGGGAGACCAGUCAAUACAAUUCUGAAUUAAGGCAACAUCCACAAAAAAAUCCAUCUUGAGGAUUUAUACGAAAACCAAAGUGUAGUUAUAGUCUUACAAGCUGGUGGAGAAGUCCCAUUAGCUUUGGGUAUUGGAUUAUUUAGAAUAAUAUAUCUGAGAUAUAGAUUUCUUUUUCUGGGAAGAAUAAUCUACUCUGAGGCCAUGAAAAUCAAUAGGCCACUUUGAAGACUGACUUCAGCUGUUAUUGGUAAUGUUUUGGUUGUGUUUGUGAAUCAACAAUCAAGCAAAAAUAAGGCCAUUUAGUAGCUCACACUAAAGAGCACUACUUGUCAAUUUUGCAACGAAGCCUCUCCAUCCAUUGAAUGAAACAGCAUCUCCCAAGGGCUGCUGUGAGCCUAUGGAGACCCUGAAAGCUGACACCAGCACAAAGAAUUAAGGAUAAGUCUUCCAGGGUGGCCAGUCAUCCCAGCAUAUUGAGACUGAGGAGUUUCCCAGGAUGCUGGACUUUUAAUGCUAAAACUAGGAAACUCCUUGGCAAACUGGGACAGUUGGUCGCCCUGGAUCAGUGGUUCUCAACUGCAGAUGAUUUUGCCCCUCAGGUAGGGUUGCCAGAUAAAACAGAAGAUACUCUGUUAAGUUUGAUUUUCAGAUAGACAAUGAAUAAUUUUUCAGUAUAAGUAUGUCCCAACUACUACAAUGGGACACAUUUAGAGUUAAAAAGAAUUAUUCUUUGCUUGUCUAAAAUUCGAAUUUAACUAGGCUUUUAACAUUUUUUAAAAAAUUUUUUUUGUAAAACUGACAGUCUUACCCCCAGGAGAUAGUUGGUAAUGAUUGGAAGCCUCUUCGGUUUUCACAACCACAACUUCAUCAGGGAUGCUACUAGCAUCUAGUGAGUAGAGGCCAGGCAUGCUGCUAAACUUCCUAUAAGGCACCAAUGCAGACAACAGCUGCCUAAAACAAAGAAUUAUCUGGCCUGAAAUGUCAGUGGUGCAGAGGUUGGGAAAUCCUGCCGUAGACCUAAACAAGCUGGUGCCACGGAGCUCCAUCUUCCUUGAGAAAACACUAAAGGAUGGACGUGGGCUUCCCUGCUUCAUGCACACAGAUGGAAAAAUGUCACAUACAUUCCUGACCUUUAACACUUUCAGUCUGAUGCGUCAAACAGCCAUUGGGAGCUUAAGAAGUGUCUAGCAAAAUGGGACAAUUCCCCUUGCCGGACUCCCCCUUCCACACUUGGAAGGGUGAGGCAGUGUGUGUCAUCAAACAAUAGAGCAGAUAAAAGCUGAAUCAGGGUGGUCUCCAGGACACCCCCAUCUCCCCAGACUUCUAUGGUGACAUUUCUUGCACUCCUCAAGUUUGUUCAUGGCUUUGAAAACACAGUUUCAGAAUGUCUUCAUUGUUUCAUACGGUACUGGCCGCGCCUGGAGUUUUCCUGAAGGAAACUGUAGCAGCAGGAAUUUUGUGCAAUACUAUAAUAAGGGGGCUUUAUCCUUCCAAAAAUACAUCCUUUCUCCUUGUUGCCAGCUCUCCCACAGCCCUGUGAAAAAUGUAGCUCAGAAGUUACUGAGGCGUUUUUCUGUUUUUCCUUUCUCACUUUAGUUCAUAUCAAGCAACAGAAAGCAAUUCUAUUAUUCACACUUAGGCGUGCUAGCUUGAAUGAAUGAACAAAUCAAAUAUCAAUCCUUUUCUCAUUUCCCUAGUGUGUAAGAACUGAAAUGUAGAAAGUGGCAUCUGCUUAAAAGGAAUUGGUGAAUUUGACUUCUCUAGGUACCUUAUCCAAGUGGAAUGAGUGUUUAAUGGGCACAGAGUUUCAGUUGGGAAGAUCGAAACGUUCUGGUAGAUGGAUGUUGGUGAUGGUUGCACAACUAUGUGAUUAUACUUAAUGUCAUGGAACUGUACACUUAAAAAUGGUUAAAAUAGUAGAUUUUAUGUUAUGUAUAUUUAAUCACAGUUUAAAGAAAGGAAUUGGUGAUGCAUGUCUAUGCAUGUAAGUUUUGAUAUAUGCUUGCUGAUUGAUUAUUUAUCUAAGGUCUGUUUACAUAUUUUCCCCCAGUAAACUUGGUACUUGCCUCAUUGUCCUGUAUCCUUAUCCUUAAAUUAAUUGGACAAUGCCUCUUUCUUCUUCUCCCUCUUCUUAACUCCAGCAGUCACAUGAAGAUAGAAAUAUAUUUUGUCUUUGGAAGUUACUCUUUUUUAAUUUUUUAAUUUUUGUGGGUACAUACAUAGUAGGUGUAUAUAUCUAUGGGGUACAUAAAAUGCUUUGAAAUAGGUAUGCAAUGCAUAAUAAUUACAUCAUGGAAAAUGGGGUAUCCAUCCCCUCAAAUAUUUAUGUUUCAUGUUAUAAUCCAAUUAUACUCUGGAGUAUACGCUGAGUACUCCAAAUGUACUCAAUAGUACAAUUAAAUUACUACUGACUAUAAUCACCCUGUUGUACUACAAAAUACUAGGUCUUAUGCAUUAUUUCUAACUAAUGUUUUUGUACUCAUUUACCAUUCCCCCUCCCCUUCACAGUCCCCCAUUACCCUUCUCAGCCU